ACAGUAUUACGUACAAACACUUGGUUCUAGCAUCCACAGAUCACUAUGCAGCAUCUAGACCUACACUUCUGUUGCAUUUUAACUAAUAAUGAACACCAGUAACAUAAUUCGGGACACGACCAUUACAAACAUAAUUCGGGACACGACCAUUACAACAGAGAGAUUUAUCCAGGCAAUCCACCUGACCAAACAUACAAAUACCCUGGUAUAACACGACUAAGUUACCAUCAUUCGUGCAAAUAACACAAUCGUACACAACCUUAGCCAAUUG
rnacentral:lncRNA from 1 species